rnacentral:rRNA from 1 species
UACGGGAGGAUCCAAGCGUUAUCCGGAUUUAUUGGGUUUAAAGGGUGCGUAGGCGGCCUGUUAAGUCAGGGGUGAAAGACGGUAGCUCAACUAUCGCAGUGCCCUUGAUACUGAUGGGCUUGAAUGGACUAGAGGUAGGCGGAAUGAGACAAGUAGCGGUGAAAUGCAUAGAUAUGUCUCAGAACACCGAUUGCGAAGGCAGCUUACUAAUGGUCUUAUUGACGCUGAGGCACGAAAGCGUGGGGAUCAAACAGG